AAGUCGUAACAAGGUUUCCGUAGGUGAACCUGCGGAAGGAUCAUUCACACAAAAGUCCAUAGCGUAGUGCAUGUAUGUGCAUUAUGUUAUGUGAUUUCAACCAAAACCAAAACCAAACGCGAACUGUACAACCCUUUACAUAACCAAAUGCCUUGUUACGCGGUAGACGAAAGUCUAUGCGGUGUUCUUGGCGAGUUAACCUGUCGGCUGAUGAUGCUCUGAGCAAUCCGGGCUAGUCAGUUGUUAAUUUGUUGUUAGUCCUAUAAGGUGGAUUCCUUAUAGGCGGAAAUGUAGAAAUACGAAACAUAUACAACUCUUUGCAAUGGAUAUCUUGGUUCUC
rnacentral:misc_RNA from 1 species